CCUCCUGCGCCCUCUGAACUCCAGACAGUACUUCUGGAUGGCACCUCCCUUUCUCCUUCUCCCCAGCACCCCCCACCUUCGCUGCCUCCCUAAGUGCUCUGGGCUGCAGGGUGUUUCCAGGUGCUGGCCGCAGUCGCAGCCCACAGAUGCGAAAGGCAGAGGUAGAAGUCACCCUCUUUCGCUGGGUCCAGGUACAGCAGAAUUUAAAAUCCAGUCCCUAGAGUCGCACAAAUGUCCAUGUCCUCCGCCCCCUCUUCUUGAGCUGAGGGUAUUUUGGAACCCAAGGGACAGCAACUAUGACGGAAGCCAGCUUGUGGGCACUUCCCAUAAGCAAGCCACACCUGGAAUGCUCAAAAUAGUGAAUCCCUGCCUCAGCUCAUUCCCAAAGCACAUGGGUCCGGGGCAGAGGGUCUAUCUAGACUCCCCCAUGGUCCUCCUCAGGCGGUGUGGCUCCUGGCAGCGUCCACUGCAGAGGAGUGGCUCUCCCUAACACAGCCCUUGGCAGCUGAGUGCCCUGGGCCCCGUGAGCUGACUGACAUGGGGUCUGGCCUCCGGCUUCCUUGCUGUUGCUCCUCCCCAGCGGCGGAGGGCAGGAGGAGCACAAACCUGCCCAACCUGGUACCUGGUCUUUUCACAUGUCCACUCAUUAAGCUGCUUCAUUUCAAGCUGGGGGUAUAGAGCAUCUGGAUGGUUUAAAACAACACAUCCUACCUGGCCGUGCCGUGUGUGUAGGACGUUUUCCUGACCUUCCUCCUCUACCCAGGGACAGUGUGUGUGCACGUGUGAUCUGACAUAUGAUCUGCAUGUAAAUGAACCAUCUUCGGGGACCAGGGACACAAGAACAGGUGAGCGUGGCCUGCCUGGCUGGCAAGCUUUGAAGAGUUACUGAUCAGAGGACGCAGGUACCACAGAAAUCCACAGUGCUCCCGAAAACGCUGAACAGCAGGACGUUUCUCAAAACGUCUCAGCCCUUCAGUAUUUUACAGGAAUUCCAACUCGAGCAGCUUUACGCAGUCAUUAUCACUUAAUUACCAAUAUAAAUCUCUCUAGCAACUUCCAUAACUUCAUUGCAAAGGAACACGCACACCUCCUAAAUCAUCACCUCCUUUUCUCCCCCCAGAUCAUCCGCUGACAGAUUUGUGGGGGCUCCAGGUUUCCUGAGCGAUUCCUCUCGGAACACAGACAAUGCAGUUGUACCCCUUCUGUUGGUGGGGCUGCUGAGGGCAGGAGCCUAGGUUGUUUGCUUGAAAGGUUAAAGACCUUGCUGAACUUUUUAGUGAUCCGAGGCCAAGUUUCCGGUAUGCAAUGAAAACUGAAACCUGGUUUUGGGUUUCCUUACCAAGUUCUCACAUAGCCUGUUGUGAC
rnacentral:lncRNA from 1 species